GACGAACGCUGGCGGCGUGCCUAAUACAUGCAAGUCGAACGCAGUGGGGCCGGGUGAGUAACACGUGGGUAACCUCCCAUCAGAGGGGAUAACACUUGGAAACAGGUGCUAAACCGAUACUGGUGGCUGAACCCGCGGUGCAUUAGCUAGUGUGUGAGGUAACGGCUCCACAAGGCCACGAUGCAUAGCCGACUGGAGAGGGUGAACGGCCACCCUGGGACGUAGACACGGCCCAGACGCCUACGGUAUGCAGCAGUAGGGAAUCUUCGGCAAUGGACGAAAGUCUGACCGAGCAACGCCGCGGGAGUGAAGAAGGUUUUCGGAUCGUAAAACUCUGUUGUUAGAGAAGCGGUAUCUAACCAGAAAGCCACGGCUAACUACGUGCCAGCAGCCGCGGUAAUUC
rnacentral:rRNA from 1 species